rnacentral:lncRNA from 1 species
CCCACGCCAAGUGGGCACGUUUCCUAUAAUAAGGGCGAUCCAAGUGAAGGCACGACCCAAUUUGGUGAAGAAGAAGUGACGUCGUUUAGUGCCUGACCUUUUUAUUGAGUGGAAGACACCAACUUUUGUACUUUUUAAUUAUUUUGAGCAAUGUCUCCUACUAUAUAAAGGAGACCUUCACAUUGUAAUAAGCAUCAUUGUUAUUCUCGGAUAAUACAACUUUUCGCUCCAUCUCUACCUCUUUCUUGGUUUUCCACCCAUUGCUUCUUUGUUAAGCUAAGUCCAUUUUUCUACACAUUAUUAGAUCUAGUAACAUUUUGAGGCGGUAAUCAUCUCUUGGGCUUAUUAUAUUUGAUUAUAAUUUACUUUUAUAUAUUUUCGAUUGUUUUUAAGCUUAUAAAGUGCGAAUAUAAUUUUUGAGCUAAACAAUUUGGCGCGUAACGAUGAAGUGUUCUUAAAUUCAUUCCCUCAUUCGAGGUGAGCCUCACACCGCUUAGGAAUGCUAUAAAAUAGCUCAAGACUGUGCCCACACCAAACAGCUUAAAGGGGUGAGCGCAGACGCAUAGGAAUCAGCUAUGUCGGGGACUAAGGUCUAC